CAGGACGAACGCUGGCGGCGUGCCUAAUACAUGCAAGUCGAACGGUCUUUUCUAUGGAAGCUUGCUUCCACUGAGAAGAUAGUGGCGAACGGGUGAGUAACACGUGGGUAACCUGCCCAUAAGAGGGGGAUAACAUCCGGAAACGGGUGCUAAUACCGCAUAGUUUUCUUGAUCGCAUGAUUGAGAAAGGAAAGACGGCCUUUGUGCUGUCGCUUAUGGAUGGACCCGCGGCGUAUUAGUUAGUUGGUGAGGUAACGGCUCACCAAGACGAUGAUACGUAGCCGACCUGAGAGGGUGAUCGGCCACAUUGGGACUGAGACACGGCCCAAACUCCUACGGGAGGCAGCAGUAGGGAAUCUUCCGCAAUGGACGAAAGUCUGACGGAGCAACGCCGCGUGAGUGAAGUAAAAGGGUUUUCGGAUCGUAAAACUCUGUUGUCAGAGAAGAACAAGUUGGAGAGUAACUGCUCCAGCCUUGACGGUAUCUGACCAGAAAGCCACGGCUAACUACGUGCCAGCCGCAGC
rnacentral:rRNA from 1 species